rnacentral:rRNA from 1 species
CAAGUCGAACGCCCCGCAAGGGGAGUGGCGCAAGGGUGAGUAAGGCGGCGGCAACCAACCCCGAGGACGGGCAUAGCCGAGGGAAACCUCGGGUAAUUCCCGGCGACGCGGAGGUCCGGCAUCGGACCUCCGCCAAAGGCUUCGGCCGCCCUGGGACGGACCGCCGUGGUAUUAGGUUGUUGGCGGGGUAACGGCCCACCAAGCCUGCGAUGCCUACCGGGUGUGCGAGCAUGGCCCGGCACACUGGGACUGAGACACUGCCCAGACUCCUACGGGAGGCUGCAGUCGAGAAUCUUCGGCAAUGGGCGCAAGCCUGACCGAGCGACGCCGCGUGGAGGACGAAGGCCUUCGGGUUGUAAACUCCUGUCGAGGGGGAGGAAGGCAUCGCGAGAUGCUUGACCGAUCCCUGGAGGAAGCACGGGCUAAGUUCGUGCCAGCAGCCGCGGUAAGACGAACCGUGCGAACGUUAUUCGGAAUUACUGGGCUUAAAGCGCGUGUAGGCGGGCCGGCACGUCCGUGGCUGAAAGCCCCCGGCUCAACCGGGGAAGUGGCGCGGAUACGACCGGCCUCGAGGGGGGUAGGGGGACCUGGAAGUUCCGGUGGAGCG